CAGAGUUUUUAACUCCCAAACCCAUGUGAACUUACCAUUGUUGCCUCGGCGGAGCCUACCCUGUAGCUACCCUGUAGGGUGGUUACCCUGUAGCGCCCCGCCGGUGGAUUUUCAAACUCUUGUUAUUUUUAGUAAUCUGAGCGUCUUAUUUUAAAUAAGUCA
rnacentral:misc_RNA from 2 species